GGGAGGGGCAGGGCCCUCCCAGCCCCGCCCAGGCCCAGGAGGGGGGGGAGGGGCCGGAGCCGCCCCCCGGCUGCAGCUGCGGUGUCCCAGGCCCCGCCCUGCAGGAGGUGCUGGGGGCGCUGCUGAGCUCCGCCCACGGCCCCGCCCUGAUUGGCUGCGCACAGUGCCCCCCCGGGGGUCCCAAGGCUCACCUGGGCCCCUGCGACCUCCGAGCUGUCAAUCACCUGCUGGAGGGCGGAGCCUACGCGUCCCUGCAGGAGUUCGCUCAGGACGUGGCCGCGGUGCUGCUCAGGGGGGGGAGGGGCGGCACAAGCCCCGCCCCCAGCCCAGGCCCCCGCCGCCC